rnacentral:lncRNA from 1 species
CUUUGGAGAAAAGGGAGAAAGCUUUAAAAAAUUGUACUGUCUCCAAGUACCUAUGACUUUUGAUAUAUAUAUAUACCUUUUCUGAAAUUCUCCAUACAAAAUCUUUUACAAAACUUCCUACAUGCACAACAGUUUACAUACUUUCAACCAAGCUCUAGAUGCCUGCAGUUUUGCGGGUGUGUUCUAGUUAGUUAUUAAUUACCAAUCAUUGAAACAAGACCCAUUCACAGGGACACCCUUCCCAAUAAAAAAAAAAGAUCACUUGAAUUCAUAAUAUACAAGACAAUUACAUUUUUCAUGAACAACCAUGAAAUUGACAAUGAAAUACGCUAACCUAAUACCAAAAGGCAGGGCUCACGCUACCAGGUGACUUGGACGAGGAAGUCGCUUUCCUGACCGUCACUUGGCUUUCCCUGACCCCCAAAAGCGAAAACAAGUCACCCU